rnacentral:rRNA from 1 species
GAUGAACGCUGGCGGCGUGCUUAACACAUGCAAGUCGAACGGGAAUUAUCUUAUUGAAACUUCGGUCGAUUUAAUUUAAUUCUAGUGGCGGACGGGUGAGUAACGCGUGGGUAACCUGCCUUAUACAGGGGGAUAACAGUCAGAAAUGGCUGCUAAUACCGCAUAAGCGCACAGAGUUGCAUGGCUCAGUGUGAAAAACUCCGGUGGUAUAAGAUGGACCCGCGUUGGAUUAGCUGGUUGGUGGGGUAACGGCCCACCAAGGCGACGAUCCAUAGCCGGCAUGGGAGGGUGAACGGCCACAUUGGGGCUGAGACACGGCCCAGACUGCUACGGGAGGGAGCAGUGGAGAAUAUUGCACAAUGGGGGAAACCCUGAUGCAGCGACGCCGCGUGAAGGAAGAAGUAUGUCGGUAUGUAAACUUCUAUCAGCAGGGAAGAUAGUGACGGUACCUGACUAAGAAGCCCCGGCUAACUACGUG